GUGUUUUUGAGAUUAAAAUAAAUGUAAUUGGUAAGUGCUUUAUUCUUGAAGUUGAAUUGAAGUUCUUUCUGAAAGUCUGAAAACUAUACUAAACCUAAUAUACUAAUAACCUAAAGUUAAAAGUCUCAGUUUUUAGACAGGUAAUGUUUUGUAAUAUGUGCCUUUUUGUCUUUACUUAUGCUGUUCUUAUUAGUGUGAUAAAAAAGCAAUGCAUGCCGCAUUAAUGCAGGCCCCUUGUAUAAACACUGUCCUGCUAUCGCAGGAGGACUGGACAUGCUUUACGAGUUAAAAAACAAAAUAUCCCGGUCCUCACACGGGCACUGCCAAAACGAUUUACGAUUCGGAGUGGAAGCAUCUCUCAGGAAUGCAACUUUAAGGACUACGAUCUGUGUAAGUGGCAGAAGACCAUAUCUUUGUAUUGAACAGUUUAUUUGAAAAAACAUAACUUCUGUUUUGAAAAUCAGGCCAUCUAUACAAAAUGCAGAAUAGGACAUUUAAAAAUUACACAUCAAUUUUUACUCUCUAGAGAAAAUCCUACAAAAUGUUCAUCUUGACAGAAUUCAUUGUUCUUUAUUCUUUUAGAUUGUAUUUCAUCUGCCGCUGUGAGAAACCUUUUUUAUUAUGUUGAUACUUUUGAACAUGUUUUUUAAUCAGUCGUAUCCAUACAUAGUGCUAAGAUUAUUAGAGAAAGUUCAUUUUAAACAUCUUUUCUAGUCUUACUUUAUUUAAUUAUACUUUAUUUUUACCAUAAAUAUAGCUUAAGAAACCGGUAUGGCUUUUUAAAGAAAAGAAAGAACACUUAAUUUCUUUGAUCCGUUUACCAAAAAAAAAUAAUUAUUUAAUGAAACUAUUCAUCCCCUGAUCAAAAUAAUUUGUAGAGAGGCAGCUUAUAAUGAUGUCACGCAUUCCAAAAUGGCGCAUGUUAAAAGUUAAAGAGCACCAAUUAUGCUAAUAAAUUGGCACGUUAGCACGUUAUUGUAAUAUCCCAUAGUACAUACAUGUUAUUAAAACUUGAACUAAUGCACUGUGAGUCUUAUAAAUUGCUUACAUACCUCACCGAUUUCUGCAUGUCUGGAAAACGCUCGGAUUUAGUUCCUGUCUCCGCCUCCCAAAAUGUCUAGUGUAUUCGGAUUGGUCAGAUGACUACUCAACUGUUAUUGGUCAACUGGGUUCGGCGUGUGUUUGAAAGGUUACGCCCCUGACUACGCGUGGGUUUUCCGGUUCUGACUGAGAGUCACAGGCAACGUAAACAAGCGCUAUAUUUCUCUAUAAACGAUGGUGUCUGUACUGCCUUACCACUUCGAGCUCGAUCCAGAGUUCAGACGGCCGUUACGAUAUAAACGAUCUCCGUCAAUGAACGCGAUUGGAUUUAACUUUUUUAGGUGUCCUUAGCUCUGCCAGAAUGCUAAACGAAGACGAAAAUGUGUUGCAAAGACAUCCAAAAGGUAAUUAUAACGUACUACAUUACUUUGCAAACUAUAUGGAAACACCAAAUGUAGCACAUAGAAAGUAUUUUUUGAAAUGAUUAUAAAACUAUUUCACUUAUUAACAUUAUUUUACUAUAGUAAACUUUAUUAUAAAAGCCUGCUUACAUACUAUAUUACUGUGCAAACUAUAUGGAAACACCAAAUGUAGCACAAAGAAAGUAUUAAUUGAAAUGAAUGUUCUACAUUAUUUCACUAUGGUAAACUUUUUUAUGAAAAACUGCUUACUUAUAAGUGCUAUGUUUUUACUUAUUAGGUUUUAAGGAGAAUGCAACAUGUUCCAGGGCCUCUUACCUGCGUGAUUCAUCAUCCAGGUUUUGCACAAAUUGUCUAAAUCCCUACACACAGAACAUUUAUUGUACCGACUAUAAGCCUUUGAGGUGCAGGACUAGAAUACGCUUGGAGCUUCCUGAUCAGAUCGGUCACAAUUUUGGCUUUCGACGACCCCUGCACUGAAGAUGGCAUGCAAUCACGUCCUCCUUUGAAGGUCUCUCAAACUGUGAUGCCAGGUCCAUUGGAAUCGGGGUUUCCUUCAGCUUAUCUUCAAAUACCUCAUCAAACACAAGCCUGAUCACAUCAUCCACAUAACUGUAGAAAUAUUGCAGUCAAUAAAUCUUUUGUUUUGAUCAUUUAUUUCCCUGCUUCAUACAUUAAGUUUUUAAUUAUGAAUGUAUUUGAAAUAAAACAUUACUGCUUA